rnacentral:lncRNA from 1 species
AAAAAGUGUAAUAAGGAGUUGUUAAGAGAAGACACAGGCAAAAACGAAAUUGAGAGCUUCGCUGUCGUUGAUAUCCUCUUCACUAAGAACUCAACAUCUGCUAUAAAUUGCAGUCCUUCCUCUCAGAAUUUCCAUUCAACUUCUGAGUUCCCCUCAUUCCUUAUGUAUUCUUUUUUUAGCAACAAAAAAGCAACCGUAAGUGUGAUUUGCUACCAAACUUUGUGUUCGCUGAAACACUUGGGUUUGAAGUACCGCUACACCAGUGUACAAUACAUUCUAUCCUGGGAGGAAAUAAUCCAUAACCUUGGGUACUAGGAUGUGGUUAAAUUUCUUACGGAAUCAAUGUGAAUCUAGUGGGCUCAAAUUAAUUACUUUUUCGUUUAUAUUAAUAUUUUAUACACUUUGUUUUCUCUAGAAUUAUUAUUUACAAAUAGAGCAAGAAGAUACAGCCAACAAACUUAAGGAACUUAAUCUUUUGUAUUUAUGGCGAACUUACAGUUCUGAAGACUAAAACCUUUAUGGUUUCGUCU